rnacentral:rRNA from 1 species
AGAGCGAACGCUGGCGGCAGGCCUAACACAUGCAAGUCGAGCGCCCCGCAAGGGGAGCGGCAGACGGGAGAGUAACACGUGGGAACGUACCCUUCAGUUCGGAACAACCCAGGGAAACUUGGGCUAAUACCGAAUACGUCCGUAAGGAGAAAGAUUUAUCGCUGAAGGAUCGGCCCGCGUCUGAUUAGCUUGUUGGUGAGGUAAUGGCUCACCAAGGCUACGAUCAGUAGCUGGUCUGAGAGGAUGAUCAGCCUCACUGGGACUGAGACACGGCCCAGACUCCUACGGGAGGCAGCAGUGGGGAAUAUUGGACAAUGGGCGCAAGCCUGAUCCAGCCAUGCCGCGUGGGUGAUGAAGGCCCUAGGGUUGUAAAGCCCUUUCGGCGGGGAAGAUAAUGACGGUACCGCAGAAGAAGCCCGGCUAACUUCGUGCCAGCAGCCGC